UACAGAGGGUGCAAACGUUGCUCGGAAUUAUUGGGCGUAAAGCGCGUGUAGGCGGCCCGUUAUGUCGGCUGUGAAAGCCCAUGGCUCAACCAUGGAAGUGCAGCCGAAACUGACGGGCUAGAAUCCUGGAGAGGGUGGCGGAAUGCCCAGUGUAGAGGUGAAAUUCGUAGAUAUUGGGUAGAACACCGGUGGCGAAGGCGGCCACCUGGACAGCGAUUGACGCUAAGACGCGAAAGCGUGGGGAGCGAACAGG
rnacentral:rRNA from 1 species